rnacentral:rRNA from 1 species
AGUGGCGGACGGGUGAGUAACGCGUGAGAAUCUGCCUUGGGGUCGGGGACAACCACUGGAAACGGUGGCUAAUACCGGAUAAGCCGAUUGGUGAAAGAUUUAUUGCCCGAAGAGGAGCUCGCGUCUGAUUAGCUAGUUGGUGAGGUAAGAGCUCACCAAGGCAGCGAUCAGUAGCUGAUCUGAGAGGACGAUCAGCCACACUGGGACUGAGACACGGCCCAGACUCCUACGGGAGGCAGCAGUGGGGAAUUUUCCGCAAUGGGCGAAAGCCUGACGGAGCAAGACCGCGUGAGGGAGGAAGGCUCUUGGGUUGUAAACCUCUUUUCUCAGGGAAGAAGCUCUGACGGUACCUGAGGAAUCAGCCUCGGCUAACUCCGUGCCAGCAGCCGCGGUAAUACGGAGGAGGCAAGCGUUAUCCGGAAUUAUUGGGCGUAAAGCGUCCGCAGGUGGCGAUUCAAGUCUGCUGUCAAAGCACGGGGCUUAACUCCGUAAAGGCAGUGGAAACUGAAUAGCUAGAGUGCCGUAGGGGUAGAGGGAAUUCCCGGUGUAGCGGUGAAAUGCGUAGAGAUCGGGAAGAACAUCGGUGGCGAAAGCGCUCUACUGGACGGCAACUGACACUCAGGGACGAAAGCUAGGGGAGCGAAUGGGAUUAGAUACCCC